CCUUCUAGGCAGAGUUCCUCUGUCCAGUCUCAACGUCAACAGUGAAGAGGCGACUCCGGGAUGCUGGCCUUCUAGGCAGAGUUCCUCUGUCCAGUCUCAACAUCAACAGUGAAGAGGUGACUCCAGGAUGCUGGCCUUCUAGACAGAGUUCCUCUGUCCAGUCUCAACGUCAACAGUGAAGAGGUGACUCCAGGAUGCUGGCCUUCUAGGCAGAGUUCCUCUGUCCAGUCUCAACGUCAACAGUGAAGAGGUGACUCUGGGAUGCUGGCCUUCUAGACAGAGUUCCUCUGUCCAGUCUCAACGUCAACAGUGAAGAGGUGACUCCGGGAUGCUGGUCUUCUAGGCAGAGUUCCUCUGUCCAGUCUCAACGUCAACAGUGAAGAGGUGACUCUGGGAUGCUGGCCUUCGAGGCAGAGUUCCUCUGUCCAGUCUCAACGUCAACAGUGAAGAGGUGACUCCAGGAUGCUGGCCUUCUAGACAGAGUUCCUCUGUCCAGUCUCAACGUCAACAGUGAAGAGGUGACUCCGGGAUGCUGGCCUUCUAGGCAGAGUUCCUCUGUCCAGUCUCAACGUCAACAGUGAAGAGGCGACUCCAGGAUGCUGGCCUUCUAGGCAGAGUUCCUCUGUCCAGUCUCAACGUCAACAGUGAGGAGGAGACUCCAGGAUGAUGGCCUUCUAGGCAGAGUUCCUCUGUCCAGUCUCAACGUCAACAGUGAAGAGGUGACUCCGGGAUGCUGGCCUUCUAGGCAGAGUUCCUCUGUCCAGUCUCAACGUCAACAGUGAAGAGGUGACUCCGGGAUGCUGGCCUUCUAGGCAGAGUUCCUCUGUCCAGUCUCAACGUCAACAGUGAAGAGGCGACUCCGGGAUGCUGGCCUUCUAGGCAGAGUUCCUCUGUCCAGUCUCAACGUCAACAGUGAAGAGGCGACUCCGGGAUCCUGGCCUUCUAGGCAGAGUUCCUCUGUCCAGUCUCAACGUCAACAGUGAAGAGGCGACUCCGGGAUGCUGGCCUUCUAGGCAGAGUUCCUCUGUCCAGUCUCAACGUCAACAGUGAAGAGGUGACUCCGGGAUGCUGGCCUUCUAGGCAGAGUUCCUCUGUCCAGUCUCAACAUCAACAGUGAAGAGGUGACUCCGGGAUGCUGGCCUUCUAGGCAGAGUUCCUCUGUCCAGUCUCAACGUCAACAGUGAAGAGGCGACUCCGGGAUGCUGGCCUUCUAGGCAGAGUUCCUCUGUCCAGUCUCAACGUCAACAGUGAAGAGGCGACUCCGGGAUGCUGGCCUUCUAGGCAGAGUUCCUCUGUCCAGUCUCAACAUCAACAGUGAAGAGGUGACUCCGGGAUGCUGGCCUUCUAGGCAGAGUUCCUCUGUCCAGUCUCAACGUCAACAGUGAAGAGGCGACUCCGGGAUGCUGGCCUUCUAGGCAGAGUUCCUCUGUCCAGUCUCAACGUCAACAGUGAAGAGGCGACUCCGGGAUGCUGGCCUUCUAGGCAGAGUUCCUCUGUCCAGUCUCAACAUCAACAGUGAAGAGUUGACUCCGGGAUGCUGGCCUGCUAGGCAGAGUUCCUCUGUCCAGUCUCAACAUCAACAGUGAAGAGGUGACUCCGGGAUGCUGGCCUUCUAGGCAGAGUUCCUCUGUCCAGUCUCAACAUCAACAGUGAAGAGUUGACUCCGGGAUGCUGGCCUUCUAGGCAGAGUUCCUCUGUCCAGUCUCAACAUCAACAGUGAAGAGUUGACUCCGGGAUGCUGGCCUUCUAGGCAGAGUUCCUCUGUCCAGUCUCAACG